CUAUCUUUAAUAACAAAAAAGUUAUGCAAAAUUUACGAUCUAAAAAAGUACAUGUUAAUUGUAAAAAAUCGAAAUUUCGAUUUUUCUCAAAAACUAUAAUUUUUUCAAUUUUGAUAAUUAUGUGCAAGGUGCCCCUUCGCUAGGAGUACUUGACUGUUUUUAAAUGAAACCUCUAUCUUUAAUAACAAAAAAGUUAUGCAAAAUUUUCGAUCUAAAAAAGUACAUGUUAAUUGUAAAGAAACCGAAAUUUCGAUUUUUCUCAAAAACUAUAAUUUUUUAAAUUUUGAUAUUUAUGUGCAAGGUGCCCCUUCGCUAGGAGUACUUGACUGUUUUUAAAUGAAACCUCUAUCUUUAAUAACAAAAAAGUUAUGCAAAAUUUUCGAUCUAAAAAAGUACAUGUUAAUUGUAAAAAACCGAAAUUUCGAUUUUUCUCAAAAACUAUAAUUUUU
rnacentral:lncRNA from 1 species